rnacentral:rRNA from 1 species
GACGAACGCUGGCGGCGUGCUUAACACAUGCAAGUCGAGCGGUAAGGCCCUUUCGGGGGUACGACGAGCGGCGAACGGGUGAGUAACACGUGGGUGGACCUCGCCCUCCAGCUCUGGGAUAAGCCUGGGAAACCGGGUCUAAUACUGGAUAUGACUCCAUGACGCAUGUUGUGGGGUGGAAAGCCUUGUGCGGCUGAGGAUGGGCCCGCGGCCUAUCAGCUUGUU